UUGAACUGAAGAGUUUGAUCCUGGCUCAGAUUAAACGCUGGCGGCAUGCCUUACACAUGCAAGUCGAACGGCAGCACGGGGGCAACCCUGGUGGCGAGUGGCGGACGGGUGAGUAAUACAUCGGAACGU
rnacentral:rRNA from 1 species